rnacentral:rRNA from 1 species
GGUGAACGCUGGCGGCGUGCUUAAGACAUGCAAGUCGAACGGCAGUCUUCGGACUGUAGUGGCGCACGGGUGAGUAACGCGUAACUGACCUACCCCAAAGUCGCGGAUAACGAUUCGAAAGGAUCGCUAAUACGUGAUGUGCUGUCAGAUUGUGUUCUGCCAGUAAAGAUUGAUUGCUUUGGGAUGGGGUUGCGUUCCAUCAGCUAGUUGGUGGGGUAAAGGCCCACCAAGGCGACGACGGAUAGCCGGCCUGAGAGGGUGGCCGGCCACAGGAGGACUGAGCCAAGGGUCCCACGCCUUCGGGAGGCAGCAGUUAGGAAUCUUCCACAAUGGGCGAAAGCCUGAUGGAGCGACGCCGCGUGAGGGAUGAAGGUCUUCGGAUCGUAAACCUCUGAAUCAGGGACGAAAGACACUUCGGUGGGAUGACGGUACCUGAGUAAUAGCACCGGCUAACUCCGUGCCAGCCGCCGCGGUAAAAC